CAUCUAGUUUAAUGGGUCCGGUCGAUGUGUAAUACUAUACCGGUGCUCGUGAGACGUUUUAUUCGUCUCGGAUCCAUAAAAACGCGCGCGUCGUUGAAUAUUUUUCUCUAUUACAAGUUCAAUUAUAAUUAUUAUUAUUAUUAUUAUGGUUUUUACGACGUUUGUCUUUACGGUGUAAACGCUAUCCGCCCCAGUGGUAUAAAAAAUUCA